UUUUUCACCUUGAUCUCUUGAUCUUUCAGUACGCAGCGCUUUUUUAGGGUUUAGUAAUUAUUUGUGCGGGGGUCAUGGUUUAGGAUCGUGUUGAUGCAUUGAGUAUGGAUGUGCAGUGGUUUGAUAUACUAGAUCUAAACGAGUUUGAUGCUUGUUUUCAUGGAUAUUCAUGGUUAAUUAUUUGGUUUGAUUGUUGAGAUAGGAUGCUUAGUGGAUUACUUGCGGUUAUAUCAUUGAUUCUGGUUCCAAUUAAUGCAUCGUUACUGUGUCCUAAACUUUGAAUUGGUUGGGAUUGUUAUGGGUUCCCAAUGUAUAAACUGAAAUUUACAGGAAGAUUAUUUGUGUUUCUCUUGUUUAAAAACCAGAAUAAAUCACGUACUUUGAAUCUGCCUCUACAGAGUCGUUUGUUCAACGCCCAGAUAAAUUAGGUACUAUGAAGCUGCUACUUUGAUCAGAGUUAUCAGCGUUGAAAACAGUGUACAUAUUGCCAGGACUUUGUUGGAGUGCAUAUGCUACAACAUGCAAUGCUGAUAUAUCUAAUUUUUAUGAUUAUUUUCUUCUGUAAAUUUACUUUGAAACUGUUAUUUGGAAAACUUUAAAGUUGUUUGUACUUUAUGUAGUAUUAUGCUCUUCAACAAAGAGAACUAACGGACUAAUUUCGGAGAUGAGCUAUGGUAGGAGCAGGAUAUAGGUCCAUUGGAGGUGCCAUUGAGCUUUAUUGGGCAGGUGACAUUUGUGUUGACUGCAGCACAUUCAAUUAAUUCAAUUGGAGUUAUGUAACAUAUACAACUAAAGUGCCAAUUGACUCCAUAUGCUUCAUGGAGAACUAGAGAAAACAGCAUUUUUCCUAUGACUUUCUCUCUCACUCGCAGAGAGAAUAAAAUGUAAUUUGCCCCAACUAUCACUAUCCUUUGGAAAUUCAAAGAGCUAUCGAAGGAAAGGAAUACAGCUCUCCCUUGGCCAAGGGAGAGGGCAUUGAAGAGAAGAAAAUAUCCUUCGUUGCAAGUAUGCUUGCUUCCUGUGCAAGCUUGGCUCUUCGACUAAGGAGGCAAGUUAGGAAAGCCGACCACCACAUAAAACGUAAGCAAGCACUUGGGUGUUGUUGCCAACAACCAGAUUUGAGUUAUGUCAUAAGACUUUAUUUAGAAAUUGAUUAAAUCUUCUACUAAAUGCGUUGGGAAUCAACAUAUUGUGGUGGUGUUGGAAGCAACAUGGGAAGGACCUCUAGUUGGCUUUCCUGGUAUGUUGUAUGUUUAAGCUUUGUAGGCUGAAGCUUAUUAUCUUCUGAUUUUUAUGUUACAUAUACAAACUUAUGCUACAACUUUGGAUUAAAACAAUUUGUAAUCAUGAAUUCUUCCCAAUCUAUGAAAUUAGAGACUAAGCUUCCCAGGGCUAUAUUAAGCCUUA